CGAAGAACUAAAAGAAGAAAACCAGAACCUGAAGGGGGAGCUACUCGAUGCAGCCAGAGAGCUUCCAAAGGCUGUGAGGCAUCUGAAAAAGAUGCUGGAACGGGUUCAAGCUAGCCAGCAAGAGCACCCAAGCACCACAGCUGCAGCAGUGAUGUCAUCACCAACAUCUGCACGUGCUGCAAUGUCAUCUCCAACAUCUCCAGCUGCAAAACCAGUGAGGUGUCCAUCUGCUGAAGAGUCAUCUAAUGAGUCUAACAACAUGG